ACGAUGAUAGGAAAAGUAGGAAACCAAUGGAGUGUUUCAAGUUGAAUGUGCCUGGAAAAAGUCAAAUCAAUGGUUGUUCCAAUCGAGUGGAAGAGAGAUAGAUGCGGCGCAAGCGUACAAUGAGCAUAACGGGACACAGCGUAAUGGGAUAAUGUGCGUUACGGGACACUUUUUCGUGCGUGCAGCCGGUGUUCAUCAAUUUAUUAGACGUUGUCACGUUAAAAAGACUAGAUAAAAGACUACUCUACUAGUGCAUUAAACAAGACACAGCUAUACAGCCAAGAUUAGCUGUGUGACACAGAAAUAGAUAUUCAACUUCAAGGUGUCCAGUACAUCAUUAAGAAUGAGUUCAGUCGAUAUACCUGCAGUCGAAUCCAUCAUUGGACCAUUUCGCUGAGCUACUAGCUGAACCCCCGGACCAAGAAAAUGAUUGUGGUUCAAAAUGUGUGUUAAUUUCUGCAUGCAGUCAUCCAAUACGUCAAGUCUUCGUUAGUAGAUCCCAUGCCAUCGGAUUUUGUUAGCAUCUUGUUGGGACACGAUCAUUUGGAUGCUAAUCGUUUCCAAGUGAAAUAAUUCACUAAUCAACUUGACGAGAUUAGUUUUACAUUUUGCUUCACACUCUAUUUAAUUGAUUUGUAUUUUUUUAAUUGAGUACUUUAAACUCGUAGGUCCUGCUCUUCAAGCGUUGUGUUAAGCCUUAGCAUAUACUUAUAUUUACUAUUAAAUCAAAAUUUCUUAAUAAGUAAAUAUUUGAGAUUAACAUAUAAUUUUUUUUUUUACAUAACUACUUUUCAUCAAAAUGCAUAUGUCUGUUAAAAAAUUCUUCUUUGUUGUUAAACAGUGGUAUAUGUAUCAAAUAAUUCUUCAGCUUCCAACCCACUGCCAAAUACAGCAACAAACUAAUUAAGACACAUGAAGGAUGCUUGUUCUGUAAACACCUUCCCCUGCCUGCCCGGGGUGGUUCAUGGUUCAGGUACAAGCCUUGACUAGGAGGCUCACGAAGAGUCCUCCGCUGCUGUAGAUCCUGUACAGUCCCUCACACAAUGAGGCAGUGUCAUACAAUAACAAGAAUAUUCUAAUAUAUACAAUUUUAUUUAGCAUAUAUAUUACAUAAGAAUGGUUCACGUGAGCUCAAAACUACAGCAGAAUAAAAUAUGUGGAUACAGAUGUCUCUUACUUUAAUAUAGGUACCUAUGUUUUUAAUGGAUAACUAUUUUUUUGUUAUUUAUUUAGCACAGCCAUAGGAAAUUUUACUCUCUAUAUGUGUAACAAAAAGUCAAUUUUUUAAUCUUACAUUUAUAUUAUAUACCUACAUUAUUUUCUCAUUUUUAAAAUUCAAAUUUUAUGAAAUUAAAAAACAAGUCAGUAUAUUUUCUUCCUGAUUUCCAAAAGACACGCGUGUAUUUACACUCAUAGUCAUAAUGAGAGCAUGACUGGACUUCACGAUGAAAAUAAUAGUUUGUAGAUCCCCACUGUGUUGCACUUGGUAUGCUGUUGCGUUGGUUCUUCACUUGGAGUCUGCCGGUUGCAUCGCCCACGGAGUCUGGAACACACACUCAUGCAUUACAGCAAGCACAACAGUUCUGAAACCAGCAUUUAACAAAAAUCUAUGUGCGGAACGAACAUAAGUUCUGGCGUGCGGUCUCGGCUCGGACCCCAGGGCGGGCACGGACGCAGCGCGGCGGCUGUGGGGCCUAACUGGCACGGGACACACUCGCUGCCUGGCCAACCAACGAGCGGCACAUGGAGAGUUCAUUCAGGGCGCCAACUGGCAACUCGACUGCGCGCCCGUGCACAGUUGAACACGGGGCGUGACGUCACCGCAGUGGCCGAUGCACGACCGGUAACGGCUUGACGGAACUCCCAGACUGUUACAGCCGCCAGGGACACUGAUCAAGACUAAGUUGAAAUAUAAAUGCAAGAUUUGUGAUCUGUGUAUUCUUUUCCCCGAGGUUCACGUUUUAUCCCAGCAGACUUAACGUGCCGAACAUUAACCGUCAUGCCGGACCAGUAUUGCCACGAGGUGUCGCCCGAACGAACCCAAAGGAAAGAGAACAUUUCCAAAGUGGAAUAUAUUAUUAUAAUAUACAGUAGAAUCUCGAUUAUCCGAGCAUCCUGUUAACGAGGCAUUCUGUUGACGGGGUUCUCAAUUAAAAAUUAAACUUUUCUAUUUUGGGGGAGGGGGGGGGGGGGGAACAAGCCCACAAGUGUAAUUCAUUAGGGAAGGGACAAGAAGGGAGUAAAACUAAAAACUACGUAUCAAAAGUAGAAACAAACGAACAAAGAAACAAGCUAGAAUUAAUAAUUAGUGUCGGUAAUACUUGUACAUUUGUUUUUGAUGAAUUAUAUUUUGCUGUAUUGUAUAACCUAAAUACAUUUGAAUUAAAUUAUCCUGGAUUUUUUCUUAUCCGUGCUGACCUUCCGCUCCCAUUACCCCGGAUAAGCAAGGUUCUACUGUAGGUUGGUUAUGGUUCUGUUAUAAGGGUUAUUUGUGAAAAAAGGUUACGUGAAGUAAUUUUUACAAUUGGAAUGAUGUAUUCUUUCAAUAAGUUGACUGUCCUGUUUUGCUAUAACAUAACAGUUACCACCGCGGCACAAAGGCGCUGACUAUCCGCCGUUCUGUGCUGCUUCCGCUCAGGUGUGAAGUCCUCAUCCCAAGAGGUAGGAUCCUGCCAGUACCCAGAGGAAUUAAUUGUGAUGCUUCACUGACCUAGUAAUUAGGUUUCAUAAUUUAAAUAGUCUAAAACUCUUUCAACAUAUCCAUGAGGCCUGAGUCGGGUGCAUUGAACUUUGAUACUCAGAUUCGUACUGUACUGCAUUUUAUCAGCAUCAGUGUUAUUUUGUAUCAACGGUGUGGAGUUGCCAAAUGUAAUAACGAUGUUUUUCAGAGUUCUCAUGUUGGUACUUGACCACGUGGUGACUACCUCUAGUGACCACGAGUCCACAGGCAGUGUUCAGUUAAUAUCCAACAGCGGGCCAGGUGUUCUCUGGUAGCACAGUCUCGUGCCAACACAGGCGACAUCACGCCGUGAGAUAGUCUCACCAGACCUGUGUGCCCGUCUCACAAGGUGGCGCCCACGGCAUUACUAUCAUCAUUUUAGACACACCACUUAUUAGAGAUGAGUGAAAUCGUUACUUUUCAAUACCGGUAAUGGCAGUUACGGUUCCAUCUCAAUAACCGGUUAUUUAAAUGGUUAUCGUUACCAGUUAUUAAACGUAAUAAUCUGUCUUCCAUCCCACACUAAUUCAUCAAAUUAUGGUAAUUUUAUUUAUUUAAUGAUAAUUUAGUUACGAUUGUAUAUGAAAUUAUAUACAAUUUGAUUCAAACACAUUGAUUAUUUGCAUGAUUAUGAAGCAUUGCCAGAGUGUCAAUGAUUGAAACCUUUGACAAAAUUUAGCUCAUAUUUCGCUAAAAUUUGAUGUGUAUAUGCUUUAUUUUAACCUACCUGCCACUUCCUAAUAGUGUUAGGUAAUCAAGAAUUGGUUAAAAUGUCGACCGCGAGCAGAUAACUCCGUCGAUCGCGAAUAAAGAACUAUUUCGGGCUAUCGGGAAUAAGUAACUGUUUCGAUUGAUCGCGAAUAAAGAACUGUUUCGGGGUUUCGGGAAUAAAGAACUGUUUCGGGCUAUCGGUAAUAAAAACUGUUUCGGGCUAUCGGGAAAUAAGAACUGUUUCGGUGGAUCGCGAAUAAAGAACUCUUUCGGGCUAUUGGGAAUAAAUAACUGUUUCUCUCGAUCGCGAAUAGAGAACUGUUUCGGUCGAUCGCAAAUCGAGAACUGAUCUGUCGAUCUCGAAAUUAUAACUGUUCAUGUGAUUGCAAGUACAAAAAUGUUUACUUCAAAUAAUAGCAGAUAGCUCUGUUCGGUUUAUAACACUGGAAUCUAACACUUGUAAUUUUAAUUUCAAAAAUAAUUAUUACUUACAUUCGCUGGAUUAAUAAUUGUUACAUUUUCAGUGCUGGUAGUUGAAGUAGGUCUGCUCACUGGUAAAAUUACGAGAUGUUUCAGACGAUAAGUGUUUUCGUAAAUUAUUUGCUGUACUUUUGUAACACAACUUAUGCUUACAAAUUUUGCACAGUGCAUGCUCAGUACUGACCGGAAUAAAAAAGUUCCAAAUGUUACUUGUUUUCCGUCUGUUGUAUUUAGUAUUUAUUGUAUGGUUGUCUCAAAAGCUCUUUAAAACAUCACGUUAGUACAUUACCGAAAAUAAUAAUACUUAAAAAAAAACUGAAGGCAGUUUGUAACUGGAACUUAACUAUUUGAAGAAGAUAAAAAAUAAACUACUAAACGAAUAUUGUAUAACCGAGAAAUGUGAAGGGGGAGCACCUGUAAAUAGAUAAUGUCUAUUAAACAGUUUAAUUAAAA